rnacentral:rRNA from 1 species
CUGCACGAAUGGCGUAAUGAUGGCCAGGCUGUCUCCACCCGAGACUCAGUGAAAUUGAACUCGCUGUGAAGAUGCAGUGUACCCGCGGCAAGACGGAAAGACCCCGUGAACCUUUACUAUAGCUUGACACUGAACAUUGAGCCUUGAUGUGUAGGAUAGGUGGGAGGCUUUGAAGUGUGGACGCCAGUCUGCAUGGAGCCGACCUUGAAAUACCACCCUUUAAUGUUUGAUGUUCUAACGUGGACCCGUGAUCCGGGUUGCGGACAGUGUCUGGUGGGUAGUUUGACUGGGGCGGUCUCCUCCUAAAGAGUAACGGAGGAGCACGAAGGUUGGCUAAUCCUGGUCGGACAUCAGGAGGUUAGUGCAAUGGCAUAAGCCAGCUUGACUGCGAGCGUGACGGCGCGAGCAGGUGCGAAAGCAGGUCAUAGUGAUCCGGUGGUUCUGAAUGGAAGGGCCAUCGCUCAACGGAUAAAAGGUACUCCGGGGAUAACAGGCUGAUACCGCCCAAGAGUUCAUAUCGACGGCGGUGUUUGGCACCUCGAUGUCGGCUCAUCACAUCCUGGGGCUGAAGUAGGUCCCAAGGGUAUGGCUGUUCGCCAUUUAAAGUGGUACGCGAGCUGGGUUUAGAACGUCGUGAGACAGUUCGGUCCCUAUCUGCCGUGGGCGCUGGAGAACUGAGGGGGGCUGCUCCUAGUACGAGAGGACCGGAGUGGACGCAUCACUGGUGUUCGGGUUGUCAUGCCAAUGGCACUGCCCGGUAGCUAAAUGCGGAAGAGAUAAGUGCUGAAAGCAUCUAAGCACGAAACUUGCCCCGAGAUGAGUUCUCCCUGACCCUUUAAGGGUCCUGAAGGAACGUUGAAGACGACGACGUUGAUAGGCCGGGUGUGUAAGCGCAGCGAUGCGUUGAGCUAACCGGUACUAAUGAACCGUGAGGCUUAACCUUACAACGCCGAAG